GGUGCGGUACGCCAACGGUGAGCGACUUGUUUUAGAAACAAGUGAUUGUGGGUUCGAAUCCCACCUGCACCA
rnacentral:tRNA from 1 species